AAGUCGUAACAAGGUUUCCGUAGGUGAACCUGCGGAAGGAUCAUUAACAAAUUCCAAAACACGUCUUUGAUGCAUGUCUGUGCUUGAGUGUGGUAAGCCUUCCGGGGUGGAAGCACUUUUGUGUGGCAUGCAUUGAUUAUGACAAACACAAACAUUAUGAUUGACAACAAUGGAGAAACCGAUUAUUAAUCGUGAACAACUUUUAACAAUGGAUCUCUUGGCUCUU
rnacentral:misc_RNA from 1 species